rnacentral:rRNA from 1 species
UACGGGGGGGGGCUAGCGUUGCUCGGAAUCACUGGGCGUAAAGCGCACGUAGGCGGAUCUUUAAGUCAGGGGUGAAAUCCCAAGGCUCAACCUUGGAACUGCCUUUGAUACUGGGGAUCUCGAGUCCGGAAGAGGUUGGUGGAACUGCGAGUGUAGAGGUGAAAUUCGUAGAUAUUCGGAAGAACACCAGUGGCGAAGGCGGCUCACUGGACCGGUAUUGACGCUGAGGUGCGAAAGCGUGGGGAGCAAACAGGG